CCCUUAGAUGUCCUGGGCCGCACGCGCGCUACACUGAUGCAUUCAACGAGUCUACCUUGGCCGAGAGGCCUGGGCAACCUUUUAAACGUGCAUCGUGAUAGGGAUAGAUUAUUGCAAUUAUUAAUCUUGAACGAGGAAUUCCUAGUAAACGCAAAUCAUCAAUUUGCAUUGAUUACGUCCCUGCCCUUUGUACACACCGCCCGUCGCACCUACCGAUUGAAUGGUCCGGUGAGGCCUCGGGAUUGUGACUAGUUCACUUCACUGUGGAUUGGUUGCGAGAACUUGUCCAAACCUUAUCAUUUAGAGGAAGGUGAAGUCGUAACA
rnacentral:rRNA from 1 species